UUGCCGUAAUCUAAUAAUAAUAAUAAUAAUCUUUUUCAUCACACAAUAAAAAUUUGCUUCAAUUUGGGGGAAGUCCACGAGUAUUCAUGUAAAGAAGUAUGGCAAAUACCGGGGCAGCUAUUAAUAAAGACAAGAUUCUAACAAAUAUUCGGGACGAAGAGGCGGCUCUACUGGAGCUGCUAAAACUUAUAAAACCACUAUUGAAAAA